GGGGUUGUAGAUCAGCGGUAGAGCACUUGCCUAGCAUGUAUGAGGCCCUGGGUUCGAUUCUCAGCACCA
rfam:Ictidomys tridecemlineatus contig125573, whole genome shotgun sequence.